rnacentral:tRNA from 1 species
GGUCGGAAGUUCAAGUCUUCCCAGGCCCACCA